rnacentral:rRNA from 1 species
AGAACGAACGCUGGCGGCACGCCUAACACAUGCAAGUCGAGCGCCCAGCAAUGGGAGCGGCGGACGGGUGAGGAACACGUGGGAAUAUGCCUUUCGGUUCGGCACAACUGCGGGAAACUGCAGCUAAUUCCGGAUACGCCCUUACGGGGAAAGAUUUAUCGCCGAAAGAUUAGCCCGCGUCUGAUUAGCUAGUUGGUGAAGUAAUGGCUCACCAAGGCUUCGAUCAGUAGCUGGUUUGAGAGAACGACCAGCCACACUGGGACUGAGACACGGCCCAGACUCCUACGGGAGGCAGCAGUGGGGAAUCUUGGACAAUGGAGGAAACUCUGAUCCAGCGAUGCCGCGUGAGUGAUGAAGGCCUUCGGGUUGUAAAACUCUUUUACCAGGGAAGAUAAUGACUGUACCUGGAGAAUAAGCUCCGGCUAACUUCGUGCCAGCAGCCGC